rnacentral:lncRNA from 1 species
AUUGACAGUCAGCUCUGAUGCUCAAACACCAGACAUUGUGCUCAUUGUGUGGAAUGCUUUCUUUAGGAGAGAGUGUGAUUUGCUGUUGCUUUACUAUUUGGGCCUUGUUGAAGCAGAGGAGGAUGAUAUUUAAGACCAACUGGGCAGCCGUGUUAAAUGCCCCUCAGAGGAAGAGGCCUGCUCCAAACCACAAGUUUUGAUCUCUUAGGUUCUAUCCGGUGAGAGCAGAGAAGGGGUCUGUGGCAGACAUAGUACAGGAUUAAAUUUCCCAUGGGACAGAGAAAGUUCCAGGUAGAAAUGAGGUCUGGGUGAACAGAGGACUUGGCGUUAUACACCUGAGUUUGUGUGACCAUGAACUUUGCAUUUCUGUUGCCUCCCCCAGAAAAUGUGUGCCUCAGACAGGAAUCUUGUGCACAUUCCUCGUUGGCGAGGCAUAGUGCUUUGUCUGCUGAGCCCCACUUCUGCUCCAACAGCUGGAGAGGACUCCUUUCUCCCGCUACAAGUACUCCUCCAGGGAUAGGUACAGGAGUGUAGAGGGGUGAAAAGCGUUGUCUGUGUGGAAAUUCUGGAUCCUCCAGAGGCCUGUGAGAAGAAAUGCUCUUCUUCUUGCCACCUUUUGUACUUUGAUGCAGUUAUAGGAGAGAAUCAUUAUGUGAGGAGGUUAAAAAAAAAUUGACAAACUGGAGAUGUCAGAGUGGAAGGAAGGGGAAAAGAGGUUCUUGAUGGAACUGAUUUGGCAAACUGACUCUGGGACUGUCUGUCUUAGACAAAUCACAGAUCUUUAUGGUUUGAACCACCUUUAGUAAAGUAUUUUAUUAUGUAUGGUUGGAACACAUUCCUACUGAAACCGCAUCUGGGGGAUUUGACAGUUGUCCCCCGGUCAUCAGUGGUGUUUGAAAAAGAGAGAAGUUGUGGAGAUGCAAGUCUGAUGCAAGAUUAAGAAGUAAAUGGGAAAAUUCUGUUUCUGGCAAUAUGGAGGACCAAAUAUGGAGGACCAAAUAGUCACAGAGAAAUUCUGGAAAAAUGUAACAACAUUCUUGUAAGUGCAUAACUGAGCUCAUUUAGAAAGAAGAAAAAACCGUCAGAGCUAAUCUACCUUGGGGACUGCCGUGGCUAGGAACAUGGUAGCCUUGGUAGAAUGGGCUGUAACUCCAACCAGAUAUAAAACUUAAAUAAAGUCUUGUAUUGAGAGCUGAAACUUCCAUGGCUACUUAAGAACCUUGAAGCUGUAUAUCCUUGGUGAAAAUGUGUGUGUCAUAGCUAAUUUUAUGCUCCAACUUGAGCUCCCAUGGGGUGCCCAGAUUAAACAUUAUUUCAAGGGGUGUCUAUAAGGGUGUUUCUGGUUGAGAUUUAGUUUUUAAAUUGUUACAUUACAAUUAUACAUAAGUUGGAUAUAUUUGUACAUAAACAUAAUUUGGUCAAUUUCAUUUAAUUGGUAGACUCAGUAAAGCACCUUGCCCUCCCCACAGUAGGUCCUUCACCCAGUCCUUUGAGGGCCUGAGAGAACACAAGGUGGAGGGAGGAGUUCUUCCCUCUGGCUUUCUGCCUGCUUGAACAGGAGAGCUCAUCCCAGCUCCUCCAGCCUCAGAAUGAGAUCCACACCAUCACCUCCCCUGGCUCUUAGGCCUUCAAACUCAGACUGACUCAUGACAGGGGUCUGCCUGGGCCUCCAGCUUGGGGCAGCAGACUGGGGCUUCUCAGCUCCCGC